rnacentral:lncRNA from 1 species
AUGGGAAGUGUAGUCUUUCUCCGCCCCACAGCGCUCCUGGGCUCCGCGGGCUCCUUCUGCGCAUGUGCAGCCUUGGUCCCUUUUCUUCCCGUCCGCCUUUGCAGGUCCUGUGAGAAGUUCUUGGAGUUUCUCAGUUGCCGCAGGCGCGAGAGCACGGCAUCACAACGGGACCUCGAGUGGCCUCGAGCUUUGGUGAGAGCCGCCUUAUUGUGGCGGAGGCGGAAGCAGGAAGUCUUGGGCUGCCACAGGCGGGACCCCGCAGUGCCCGAGUCUGGCUUGGACCUUGGCUCUGGGAAGCUGAAUCGUCACUGUCCUCUACUCUCCCAAGACCCACUGAAAAUGAACAUAUCUGAGAUUGAUGAGAAAUGUGCCUUCACAGACAUCAGUGUCAUUCAAGGAUAUGAGUGUGGAGUUUACCUGGAAGGAGUGGCAGCAUGUGAAUCCUGCUCAGAGGACCCUGUACAGAGAUGUGAUGCUGGAGAACUAUAGCCACCUUGUCUCACCGGCUGUCGUUACUCCAAUUUUUGGGCUUCCCUGAUGGCUCAGCAGUAAAGAAUCAGCCUGCCAAUGCAAGAGACGACAGAUACCUGGGUUCAAUUGGUGGGUGUGGAAGAUGCCCUGGAGAAAGAAAUGGCAACUCACUCAAGUCUUCUUGCCUGAGAAAUCCCAUGGACAGAGGAGCUACAGUCCAUAGAGUCACAAGAGUCAGACAAGACUGAGUGAUUGAACAGCAACAGCUCCAAUUACAUUUAUGCAAAUGGUUCCAGUAAACUUUAAAACUUUUGUUGACCAAAAAGAGAAAAAACCCCACGGGUAUACUGUACCCAAAGAUUUGAACUUCCUGCUUUUUACUUUUUCAUGCAGAUUUUACUUUUUCAUGCAAAUAUUCUUGAUGGCUUUCAUUUCCAAAGGUAAUCAACAAUUACAUAGAAAGGCACAUUAUACUCCAUGGGAACUGUCCUUUCAAGAACUUGGUUUUGAACUGCAGAGGCUCUCACUGUAUCUCUUGAAGGUCAUUGUAAGAGGUUUAAAUUGUAGAUACAGCUGUGUGAUCACUGAAUUCUCCUAAGAAGCAUCUUUCUUUUACUUUUACUUAUAUAUGUUUUCUUUUAAGUAUCUCAAAGAAGCCUGAGGCAUUGUAGAUCCUUUGGGUAUUUUGAAUGUUUUUGUAAAGUUUUAAUGGCAUCAAAUGAAUUGACAUUUGAUCACAUACAGGAAAUUUUAACUUAUACUUUUGUAUUCAUUUAAUGGCUUUCAAUAGACUUUCAAGACUUCUAGGAACCUAUACAGAAAAUGACUCUUUGAAAAUGAAAAUACAUCACUCUGUGUUUGUUAUAAAUAUGUUAUCAAAAUAUAAGAAUCUGUUAGUACAGAAAUGCCAAACAGUUGUGUAGCAAGAGACCAUGUCUAGCACUUUGCUCUGUCAUCCACUCUGCAUUUUAAGAGAAACAUUGAAUAUUUCUAGAAUAAAGUGAUAUGCAUGGUAGACUCUAUAGAAACAAAGUUAAGUGAUUAUUCAUUUAAGGAACUGCUUUUGUUUAAGAUACAGAAGAAUAUAAAACAAAAUUAGGGCCAAUUUUGAAAAUGACAUUAUUUUUAGAAGCAAAUUUCAUCACAAUAGACCUUAUUUUGUAACAAUUAGAUCAGUCCAAAAGGGAGAUAGUGUAUUUCUUAGUGUAUGACCUUAAGUAAAGGCUUUUUUUUCUCCCCUCUAGGAAUCACUGAUGUCAUAUUGUGUAUCAGCUUCAGAUAGAACAUCAAAUCAAUGCCUUUCAAGUUUCCGUUUAAUGUUGGUGUUCUGUGUUUUUUAAUAGAGAUCAACAUAGAGCCUCACUUGUGGUAGAUCUAUAGUAUUUGUUUAAUUCUGCUGUGAAUUAAUGUAACUCAAGUUUAUUGAUGGUCCUUGAUUCAUGGGAUGCUUAUUAUUUUCAUGUAAUAAAAAAUAGAGUAGGAAAUUUAUUUUCCAUCUGGGGAAUUCCCAUUGCAUUAUCACCAAUGCAGUUGUCACUUCACCUGAGAUACCUUCUCCAGCUCCCUCAUUCAGAGGAACUGGAUGACAUCUCUGUCGCCUUUAGAACUUUGGAAAAUUUGUACCUGCACAGAGAUCUAAUAUGCACAUAUAUUUAUACAUAUAAACAUGCACAUACCUGGAUAUAUAUCCACCCAUGUAAAUAUUUUACUCAUUUAUUCUUUCAGUAAGUGUUUUUUCCCCCAAUUGUGACUUUUCUUAUAACUAAUCACUCGUGUGAUUUUUAACAAUGAUAGAACCCUAAGCAUACCAUAGGCAGACUUUAAAGCAGAGUGUAUCUUAAAAUUAACAUAUUAUGAAGAUGGAAAAUACAUUUAGAAAACUUGAACAAAGCAACUUGAUAAUUCCAGAAUUAGUGCUUAGGAAUUAUGUGACUUCUAUAAGACAACUAAAUAACCCUUUAAUAUAUGUACAAUAAAGUUUCUAUUUCUUUGAAAGAAAAACAGAAUUACAUGACUUUGGAUAAAUGUGCCUAUUGGCUCUUAAUUACGAAUGCUCUGAAUCACAUGCCUAUAUGAUGCACACCACAACUUUUCCAAUCUAUCUAAUCCAUAUUAGGGCUCUGCUUGAUUAUUUCCGGCUAUUUCAGUGUUCUUGCCAAUUGGUUGUAUUGCUCUUACAUUUUUUUUUAAGACUUUAGAGUAGUAUUAUCUUUUCAUCAACAAUAACUCAUUUUCAGCUUAGGAAAGCAGAAAUUGAGUUAUUGUUGAUGAUAAGGUGAUACUUUAGCAUAUAUUUCCUGUGGAAUCAAGAAAGCUGAACUUGAGUUAUUACUGAUGACAGGGUAAUACUGUGCUAAUGGAAUACUAAAGACACCCUGCAUCCGUGAUGCAAAUUAAAAAUCGAUCAAACACCUUCUAACAGGAAAGUCUACCCUCUUUCUCUGAAAUAGACAAGAAAAAACACUAUCUACUAGGAAUGUGAAAGAAAGAUUUAGAUUGACAAUAAAUAUAUCAUUUUAGAAGUGUGUUUUGAUAUCAGUAACUAUUAAUUUGUUUUCUUACUGAUUUACUCAGCCUGCCUUAUUGUCUGGGCUUCCCUGGUGGCUCAGUGGUAGAGAAUUUACCUGCUAAUGCAGGGGAUAUGGGUUCAAUCCUGGCUUAGAAAGAGUCCCUGGAGAAGGAAAUGGCAACCCACUCCAGUUGGGAAAUCCCAUGGCCAGAGGACCCUGGUGGGCUAUAGUCCAUGGGGCUGCAAAAGAAUCAGACAUGACUUAGCAGCUAAACCAUAGCAGCUUUAUGUCUGCCAUAUGCAUGACCCCGUGUUGGGUGCUGAAAUGGAGAGGGGUGAUAACAAAAAUGAAUUGGGGACAACAGAAAUUAACGGUGUACUAAGGAAAACCUGCUGCUGCUGCUAAGUCACUUCAGUCAUGUCCGACUCUGUGUGGCCCCAUAGAUGGCAGCCCACCAGGCUCCCCCGUCCCUGGGAUUCUCCAGGCAAGAACACUGGAGUGGGUUGCCAUUUCCUUCUCCAAUGAAAGUGAAAAGUGAAAGUGAAGUUGCUCAGUCAUGUCUGACUCUUCGUGACCCCAUGGACUGCAGCCUACCAGGCUCCUCCAUCCAUGGGAUUUUCCAGGCAAGAAUGCUGAAGUGGAGUGCCAUUGCCUUCUCCAGAGGAAAACCUAGAGGUCUGAAAAAAUUGUAAGGACAUGUGGAAGAGGUGGUCACUUGUUCUGAUUGAGAGAGCUGAAGAAAACAUAUCAGGUGAGGCCAUGCAUGUUUGGGUCCAAACAUCGCAGUGGGACUUCACCAAAUGAAAAGGGUAGUAUUCCUAGAAGAAAGCCUAGAAAUCCCAGAGUGGGGAGAAGAGACCAACAGUAGCAAAAAUAAAACAGUGUAGUAGGGAAUCUUAAAGUCUCCAAGAUGACUAAUCAUAGAGUUUGGGAAGAAAUGCAAGACAAGGUGAUUAACAAAAGAGAUAGAACCAAACUGCAUAAGAUUUUAACAUACUUUAAAAGUGUGAACAGAGAAAGUUUAAAAACAGGUAACAGGGUCCAGAUGCUUAGGUGAAACUUCGCUACCAGAAUUUUUAGUAGUGAAGUGUUUUUUUUGUUUGUUUUUUGCUUAUAAUUCCUAAAGAAAAUGGCAGAGUCAGCAAGUACAGUAAAACAUAAUGUUUACAACCAAAGAGGUCUCCAUGUAGGGUAAGAAGCAACAGCAGAGCUCUGGUCUAUGGUAUCAGCAUUCCAACUGACUUUUCUGUGCUUUUUUUCCUUUUUGUGCUCUCUGUCAGUCCCUUAGUGUUUUUAUGUUAUCUUCUGUGUUUUCUUUUCUUAAAAACAUCUGGUAAAAUCAGUUCAAACGAAGAUGUGGCGCUCCAGAGUUAGAGCCAUGCUAAGCCUUAAGAAAUGACACGUGGAUUAUGGAAUUGGGGUAUUAAAGAAAUACCACUUUGGAGAAAUAAGCUAGAAUCUGUGCCAAUUACCAACUUCCAAAGGGAUUAUGAAUUCCUACCUUUUUACUCAGUGGCAUUAAUUAGUAUGCAUUUCUACAGUGAGGCAAGGGAGAGGUAAGCAUUCUCAGAGAUGCAGUUGUGAACAUGUUCUUAGUUCUAACGCAAUACUCCUGCUUGUCUUGAUCUCCCAAUUCACUAUGGGCCACUGGAUACCAACGACCACAGAUUAGUCUGUAAAUAUGUUUGCUACUUUAGAUAUCCAAUUUCUCAUUCAUUAUUUACCUUGUCCAAUCACUGUAUUGGGCAAAGAGUGGUUAGGGUCCAAACAAUUGGACUCUAUUGCUUCUUUUGUCCAAUCACUCUGUUUCCAUGUCCAAUCACUCUAUUUUCUCUAGUCUCUAAAAAGUUGACAGCAAAUUUAUGGUUAUUAAUGUUUUCAUUGAUUUUUAUUACUUUAUAAAUCUAACACAUAUAACAACAAAAUACCCUGACAGCAGAGUGGAAAGUAAUGCAGUAAGGAAGUUUAGGGAAACUAAAAAGAGAUUUGGGGAAAAUGUGAUGUCUACCCUGGAUUUACCUAUGUUGUUUUUGUUGUUUAAUCAGUAAGUCACGCCCAACUCUUUUGUAACCCCAUGGACUAUAGCCCGCUAGGUUCCUCUGUCCAUGGGAUUUCUCAGACAAGAAAACUGGAGUGGGUUGUCAUUU